CAAAACGAGGAGCAUCGACGUUCGUAUCAAGCUCGGAGUAGGUUUGUAACGUGAAAAAAAAUAAAAAAAUUCAAGUUGUAACUUUUUUCCUUUGUAUUUUAGCAUAUUGUAAUUGAAAAAAAAAAUUCGAAAAAAAAGGAAAUUCGAAAAAAAAGGGGGUACGAAGUAAAAAAAAUUGAAAAAAAAAAGUGAAGUGUUGGAAAUUUUGUUUAUUCAUUCUUUGUGUUUCCCGAUCAUCAAGUUUCCCUUCCUACCAUUAUUUACCCUUCCCAACGCCACACUUUAAACCAAUUUUUUCUUUGUUCAGCCUACCCUACACCCGACGUUAUCCCUUGUAACCCAUUUUGAAGC
rnacentral:lncRNA from 1 species